rnacentral:rRNA from 1 species
GGGUUGUGAGGUUAAGCGACUAAGCGUACACGGUGGAUGCCCUGGCAGUCAGAGGCGAUGAAGGACGUGCUAAUCUGCGAUAAGCGUCGGUAAGGUGAUAUGAACCGUUAUAACCGGCGAUUUCCGAAUGGGGAAACCCAGUGUGAUUCGUCACACUAUCAUUAACUGAAUCCAUAGGUUAAUGAGGCGAACCGGGGGAACUGAAACAUCUAAGUACCCCGAGGAAAAGAAAUCAACCGAGAUUCCCCCAGUAGCGGCGAGCGAACGGGGAGGAGCCCAGAGCCUGAAUCAGUGUGUGUGUUAGUGGAAGCGUCUGGAAAGGCGCGCGAUACAGGGUGACAGCCCCGUACACAAAAAUGCACAUAUUGUGAGCUCGAUGAGUAGGGCGGGACACGUGGUAUCCUGUCUGAAUAUGGGGGGACCAUCCUCCAAGGCUAAAUACUCCUGACUGACCGAUAGUGAACCAGUACCGUGAGGGAAAGGCGAAAAGAACCCCGGCGAGGGGAGUGAAAAAGAACCUGAAACCGUGUACGUACAAGCAGUGGGAGCACGCUUAGGCGUGUGACUGCGUACCUUUUGUAUAAUGGGUCAGCGACUUAUAUUCUGUAGCAAGGUUAACCGAAUAGGGGAGCCGAAGGGAAACCGAGUCUUAACUGGGCGUUAAGUUGCAGGGUAUAGACCCGAAACCCGGUGAUCUAGCCAUGGGCAGGUUGAAGGUUGGGUAACACUAACUGGAGGACCGAACCGACUAAUGUUGAAAAAUUAGCGGAUGACUUGUGGCUGGGGGUGAAAGGCCAAUCAAACCGGGAGAUAGCUGGUUCUCCCCGAAAGCUAUUUAGGUAGCGCCUCGUGAAUUCAUCUCCGGGGGUAGAGCACUGUUUCGGCAAGGGGGUCAUCCCGACUUACCAACCCGAUGCAAACUGCGAAUACCGGAGAAUGUUAUCACGGGAGACACACGGCGGGUGCUAACGUCCGUCGUGAAGAGGGAAACAACCCAGACCGCCAGCUAAGGUCCCAAAGUCAUGGUUAAGUGGGAAACGAUGUGGGAAGGCCCAGACAGCCAGGAUGUUGGCUUAGAAGCAGCCAUCAUUUAAAGAAAGCGUAAUAGCUCACUGGUCGAGUCGGCCUGCGCGGAAGAUGUAACGGGGCUAAACCAUGCAC